CUUCGCUUACGCCGCUUCCUUUUGUCUUUCAUAUUUUGGUUUGGUUGGAAGUCUAAAUGCAGAAGCUCUUCUAUCACAGUAAGAAGAGAUCCAGCAACAAAUGCAUACAUCAAAAAUCAAUGGCGGCUGCUGAUCAAAUAAAGAUUUUAUCUUUCACAGCAAAAACAUUACAUAAUCAUCACAAAAUGAGUCAUUCGAUUCAACAUCCAAUGAUUUUCCAUAGAGAACAUGACAAAUAUGCAGAAAACGAUGUGAAAGUUGAUGGAAAUGAUACUAAUGUGGGUGGCUUGGUUGAACGACUUCCUAGAAGCUCCCGUCAAAGGAAGCGAAAAAAAUUAUUGAAGAUUCUAACGAUUCAGUUAUUCUCCCUAGGAAACCAGGGAGACCUAAAAAACACAUUGUGAAAAGUGAUUCAAUUGAUACUAAUGUGAAUAGUUUUGCUGAUCGGCUUCGUGAAAGAUCAAGUAUAAAGAAGCCAACUUAUAUUCUUGAUGAGUUAGAAGAAGAUUCAGCAAACAUGGGAACUCUACAGAAACAAAAUUGAAAGAAGUGACACUAAAAGAAGAGAUCCGGGAAAUGUAUACAAGUAUGUUAUCUCAAUGCAUAAAAAAUCGAGGGAUGCUGAUGCUAAUCAAAUGAACGAUGUCAUCUUUCACAGCAAAAACAUUACACUGUCUAUCAGUACUCUCGAAGAGUUAUACAAAGUAAAAAAGUUAAGAAUAUGUAAAUACAUCAUCGAGACAUCAGAAAACAUGUUCAAGCUGCUCCUUUUUUAAUUGUUCGAGUGCCUAUUACUUUUAUGUAAUUUUUUACUAAAUUUUUCAUAUGUUUUUGUUUCAUUUUAAUAUGUUUGAAGAGAACAAAUGAUAUUAUUUGAGAGUACAUGCAAAAGUAACUAAAUCAUGUUAAAUGUAUUCCGAUUU